rnacentral:tRNA from 1 species
GGCCCUUUAGCUCAGUUGGUUAGAGCGUGCGAAUCAUAAUCGCCCGGUCGCUGGUUCAAGUCCAGCAAGGGCCACCA